rnacentral:tRNA from 1 species
GGGAUUGUAGUUUAAAAUAACAUUUAAUUUGCAAUUAAAAGAUACUAACUAUAAUUAGUCUAUCUCA